rnacentral:rRNA from 1 species
UACGUAGGGUGCAAGCGUUAAUCGGAAUUACUGGGCGUAAAGCGUGCGCAGGCGGUUUUGUAAGUCUGUCGUGAAAGCCCCGGGCUCAACCUGGGAAUUGCGAUGGAGACUGCAAGGCUUGAAUCUGGCAGAGGGGGGUAGAAUUCCACGUGUAGCAGUGAAAUGCGUAGAGAUGUGGAGGAACACCGAUGGCGAAGGCAGCCCCCUGGGUCAAGACUGACGCUCAUGCACGAAAGCAUGGGGAGCAAACAGG